AGAGUUUGAUCCUGGCUCAGGAUGAACGCUGGCGGCGUGCUUAACACAUGCAAGUCGAACGAAGCACCUGUGAUUGAGACUUCGGUCAAUUGACCAGGUGACUUAGUGGCGGACGGGUGAGUAACGCGUGGGUAACCUGCCGUAUGCAGGGGGACAACAGUUGGAAACUACUGCUAUUACCGCAUAAGCGCACAGCAUCGCAUGAUGCAGUGUGAAAAGCCGAGACGGCAUACGAUGGACCCGCGUCUGAUUAGCUAGUUGGUGAGGUAACGGCCCACCAAGGCGACGAUCAGUAGCCGACCUGAGAGGGUGAUCGGCCACAUUGGAACUGAGACACGGUCCAGACUCCUACGGGAGGCAGCAGUGGGGAAUAUUGGGCAAUGGGCGCAAGCCUGACCCAGCAACGCCGCGUGAAGGAAGAAGGUUUUCGGAUUGUAAACUUCUGUCCUUGGUGACGAAGGAAGUGACGGUAGCCAAGGAGGAAGCCCCGGCUAACUACGUGCCAGCAGCCGCGGUAAUACGUAGGGGGCAAGCGUUGUCCGGAAUGACUGGGCGUAAAGGGCGUGUAGGCGGCUUAAUAAGUGUGAAGUGAAAGUCCUGCUUUCAAGGUGGGAACUGCUUUGCAAACUGUUGAGCUUGAGUACGGAAGAGGUAAGUGGAAUUCCCAGUGUAGCGGUGAAAUGCGUAGAGAUUGGGAGGAACACCAGUGGCGAAGGCGACUUACUGGGCCGUAACUGACGCCGAGGCGCGAAAGCGUGGGGAGCGAACAGGAUUAGAUACCCUGGUAGUCCACGCUGUAA
rnacentral:rRNA from 1 species